AAAUGGAUAGAAAUGAGACGAAAGAAUGCAAGAAUCAGCAAAUCUGGGCCCAUUUGGUUUGUAAAACACCCUCACCCAACACUCAGUGUGAGGUAUUCUUAAUUCUGCACUGCAUCCCCACCUGUGCACAUGCCAUAAAGGCUGGUGGAGGCAUUUCAUUCUCCAGUCCCAGCUCUGCUGGCCCAGAUAGUGAUUCAGCUCACAUGUUUCAGAUCAGCUUCUUUUGAGCAGAGAAGGUGUGUCCCACAGCUCUGCAGAAGAUGAAUCUGUUCUGCUUGCAAGGCAGGCCUUAAUUACUAAGUGCAAACCGUUAUUUGGUGUAAAGUGCUGGGAGAAGAUAAAUGAAAGAAGAGGAAAUAUUCAGCAACUGCUGAAAAGUACCUGCAACACCCAGACACAAGGAGAUAUCUCAUUAAUUACUUGCUUUAGUCCCCUUUGGGCUCAGAAGACAGCAGCAAUAGAAUUACUUUUGCUUGCAGCUGUGGGUUCUGGUUUGACGGAGAGAUGUGUUUUUUAUUUAUACCUUAAUGUUUCUUGAUGCGUUUCUUUUUGGAGUGGGAAUUAACUGCCUACAAUUUACCUAGGAGCCUUUACUUCGAUCCAUGUGUCAAUCACCUCCAUUUCACAGUGUCUCAAAUACAGCAGCAGAAAUAAGACUACUAAGAACAGAGCAAUCCUUCCAGCAUAGACCGAGCCAUUCAGGACUACAGCUGUUAAAAGCCAGCACAAGGAGCCAGAGCAGGCUGCAUGUCAGAAGAAGCAAGUGAGGCCCAAACAAGAGGUUUCAAAAAAUAUCUGUGAUGCAGCCAGACAAAAAGCAUGAGAGCAUCCAGCUUCAGGACAUCUGUAUCUGUUAUAUUGCUGAGCAACGAAUGGGAAGUGUAUGUGCACCUGAUCAAAACUGAACAAUUCAGAAGCUACACAAUCCAUAAAACGUCUGGGGAACUUCAUGUUCAAAAUGAGAGAGAAGUUGUGGUUUACACCUUGUCUGUAAGCCCACGGCAGAAGCAAGGUAGAGCUAGGAUGCUGUGUAUGUGUUACCCAAGAAUGGGAUGUUUAGACAUGCUUCCCCCCAAUUUGUCAAGAAAUGCUGGGCUCAUAAGGUCAGAAUCUGUGCUGUCUGGGGGACAAAAGUAAGGAGCCUUUGAUAAAUCACCCAGACUCCUACAGUCCAGGCACCACAAUGCAAACUUAAAUACCUGACAGAUUAGUAUUUGCAUCUGUUAUACCCAUUCACCUUCAAACCUGCCAAGAGGUGAAACAAAUGACUAAAAUACAUGACAAAUGAGUGAAAGGGAAUGUACUUUGGUCUGGUUAUUUAAUAACUGACAGGUUUUUAGUGUUAUCCUUUAGACCAGGAUUUAUUGUUUGAGUUACUUUACAGAAAUGAGAAAAUAAUUCUCAGAAAUACAGAAAAAUGAAUUCUAUUAUGAAGAAGCUAUCAAAAUGUUCCAUAUGAUUUAUCAGCCUGAAAACUUUCCUAGUGCUGGAGCCAUAGAUAAAACAUGAUCUUCCUUGUGGAUAGAGAUGAGCACGAUGUGACGUACGUGAGUGGGCUAUGCAGUUACUUGCUAGUCACUUAGCAGAACAAUAGCUAAAGAUUCUUAAAUUCUUUUCCUGGAUUUGGGCAAUAAAGCAUGGCUUUAUGACACAGAUAGGAUAAGCAAGCACAUCCAUCUGGUUUAUCCCACCCUGAAGCAGAUUUGAAUUUGCAAUAUGGGAGCAUGGUCUCUACCAGAUAAUUCAGAAAAUUCCUCCUGCAGCAUCUUGGGAAACUCAUUUGGUUCAGUGGUCAUCACACAAAGCUUGAGACAUAGGACAGCCGUGUUUAAUUCUGCACUGACAAAGGCAUCAAACUGGCCAAGGUUAGGAUAGACUUUCACUGACAGUCUGGCCAAUAUUAAGCUCUCCCUCACACAUAGACUUGCUAACUCAGUAACUUCAUCUCUCAGCCCAACGAACUGGCCAAUAGCUCCUGCCCAAGCUUGAGAACCUGAUGUGAAUUAGGUUCAGAGGUGGAGCUUGAUGGCCAACUUGUCCUUUUCUUGUCAAGAUCACGGGACUUUCCCCAUGCUUCAGUGCUGCAGGGCAGUUGCCUAUCCUAGGACCUGUGCCACAGCCUCCUGCUUCUGCUUUCUAGGUUCUGCACCUCCCUUCUGUCACUCAGAUUGAAAGGUUCUCGUGCUCAUCCCUAAAUGUCAGUUCAAACAGACCCUUCCUCAUAUUUAGAUUCAGUCCUGCAGCAGAACCAAUGGAUCACAUUUCCCUCACUCAGUCGUGUGGUCUGGAGAUGCAUGGUGUAUGUGACAGGCUGGUCAGUCUUUGGGGAACAAAAAGAGGACCACCUAAGCAGGUAAGGUGAGGAGAACAGGUAUCUUUUCCUACAGCAAAAAUGAGAAACCUUGCUCAGUAAGAAGAAAUGGAAACAGCCACCAGUGUGAUGAGACAAGGAAUCAGGGCAUCCUGGCUCUUACUUCAUUUUUCCUUAGAAGAGAAUAUUCUUUUGUCAGCUUUUGCUUGAAAUCCCUUAUCAUGGGAGUACAGUGGAACAGGGAGCUCAGAACAACUGAGCUGCAGACUGUCCCUCAAAAUGGAAUAGACCUGAGUGCUCUGAGGUUUUUUAAAUGAAAGAAGUGAAGCUGGAGUUGAACAGACCUGAGUCACUGACAAAUCCCUUAUAAAGGACAGGAGCUGAGACAGGUAUUUUGGACUAGUUUGAGUCAAUGGGAAAACUUGAACGAGUAUGUCACGUUUAGAACAUAGUUCUUGUGCAAAUAGAAUGCAAGCAACAGUCUGAAAAAAUGCCUCUUCUAAUUUCAAAGCAGACAUCUCCUAUCUUAAUUUACACUUAGACAUUUACUACAAUACAUUUACAAAUAUUUUAACACUUAUUACAAUGUAUUUACGAAUAUUUUAACACUGGUUUGAGCUUCUGAACUGGAAAACAAAUGAUUCCUGUCACCCUAAUUAAAAUAUUGUUCUGAUUAUACACUGAAGAGUGUAUAAAUAAACUCCGGGCUGUGGUGGACAGUGGGCAUUUUCAUUUCCUUCAGUGCUUGAAGAAAUAGCCAUUUAUAGGAUUACACACAGCAUACAAAUUGCAGAGGGACAGGCAUGCGGCAUUGUAUUGUAGACCAGCAUUGCACUAACUUAGCUGGAAAAGCACUCUGCAAAUAUCCAUUACCUGAAGGAUGCGGAUGGGAUAGUCCCUGAGACAGUUCUAUCCAAUCCAAGCCAAUACAGGCACUAUACACCAAAUCCCUGUUUGAUGUAUCACACUGGCAUAAAGAAAAUCCCUGCCUGAAAGACAGACCAAGGGCUGAGGAAUAAUACAGCUGUCAUUUGUCGCAUAUUGACACAUUUUUUUUAACUUCCAGGACUGAUUGGAUUUUCCCUGCUAACAUUUUUGCCAGACUUCCUUUCAAUGAAGUGUUGAGACUAGGGUGGAAUAUUUCAUAGGAUACUUGCAGAGGAGACAUAACAGUCCAAUCUGCCUUCAACUUGUUCUUAAAUUAAGAUUAAAGGAGGUAAAAAAGCAUGAUGAAGGGAGGGUGGGAAGGAAGGCAUAAGAGCCACUGCAGUGAUCAAAUUUACCCACGGACUAGCUCAGCCUGAUGAAAUCCUUAGGAAGCUGAUGUGGUGGUUUGCAGUCCUUCAGUGAUAAAGGAUCUGGCUGUGGUCAGAAUGUGGCCCUGGUUUGGGGGACGACUUAGGGGAGUGAUGCCACAGAGCAUUGGCUAGCUUUUUGUCACAGACUUCAAAAAAGGGUUGAAAAUCAGACUGCAGGUAGCAUUUCUUCACUUGGAGUCUUCUGUUGAGGCUGUUUGUUAUGAAGUGUUGCUUAGGCUAGAAGAGACAAAGAGUAUUGGUCUUGCAGGUCAACAGUAACGUAUUUACAGAACAUCUCAAUUGUUAAAAAUGAAAGAUGCAGACAUAAAUCUGAAAGCUUUUAAUGACAGAAGGACUGAAAUACUGAAAUGUGGGCCCCAUUUUCCCUUUGCUCUUCUCCUUUUCUCUCUUUGCUUUCAUCUUACCAACUCUUAUUUUAUGCAAAUAUCUACACUAAAUUUAAGGCUAUCUAUAUGAAAUGUCAGUCACCUGCUCUUGAACCUGGUUACAGCAGGUCUAGACUUUUCUAUGAAGAUUUUUUUGCGCAGAGACCAAGGAUGUGAUAUCUGAUGUUUUGUGAACUGACACAUUAUAUUUUUGGUUCCUAUGAUUCAUCAGACUAGUUGGAGUGUAUGAACCUUUUUACCCUAUAAUUUAGACUGAGGGAUAUUGAAGGGCAGUUGAGAUUUUCCCCAGCUAAGUCAGUCUCUUUUUCUGCACCUAUUGGAAGAAAUCCCCCCAAAAUGCAAACUGUGCUGAUGGCUUUUCUAUAAAGCAAGUAUAGACUCAUUGAAUUUAUUCUUUUCUCUUUUUUUUCUAACUCUUUAUGCUUUUAUAUUAUACUCUCCUGUAAGUGAAAUAUGAAUUCCAAGAUUAUGUUUCAAACUUUCAAGACUGUGUGGGUUUGAAAGCAACCAAGACAAGUAGCCCAGUCCUAACUGAGACCUUUGUUAGUGCAGAAUCUAGUAAAAUGAACUAACAAUUUGGAAUACAUUAGCUGUCAUUUCAAAUGCCAGUGAUAAUUUGCAAAACACUCUGAGCAGUAAUGGGAAACGUCAAAUUUGUAGCAAAGCUGAUAACAAAAAGAAUAUUCACUGUGAAUUACAGUCUUCCUGACUUGCUAAAGCUCUUACUGAUUCUGCUUUAACAAAGGAUCUUCUUCUCUCAAAGGAUUUAAAUACAGUAGAUUAUCUAACAUUCUCAACUAAUGCUUUGUAACUUCUUUAUCUGAAAACUUAUCCUUGAUGACUUGGAAAUCUGCGCUCUUUUGCUAACGUGUCUGGGAGGGUGAUUGGUCAGUUUGGUAUUCUGGCUAUCUAUUACCCGUGUAGGUGCGUAUUUGGUCUAGGGCCACUAGCCUUUCUUUCUGUUGAAAGGCUAGUGGCUAUUCCAUUUUCAUAGCUGUCUUUUUUUCUGAAAGCUGUUCUCAGAACUAAUAACAACUGACUUUGAAAAGGCAUCGGUUCCUGCUGUUCUGCAGCCUCUGGAAAAGAUGAAAAUGUUCCGAAUGGAAAAAGCAGCAAUGAAAAUAUGCUGAAAAAACUUCAGAAAAGGUGUGUAUUGAUCAAAAGUCAGACACAAGCUUGGCGGAAAUUAAAAGUGCAGAGUAAGAAAAUAACAA